AACAGUUUCUCAGACCUUAGGUUUUGAAUUGAGUUACGUCAUCAGCUUUCCUGGUUUUAAGGCUUUCAAACAUGGAUUGGCUUCUCUGAUUCUCCAGUUUGCUGACAACCUAUCCUGGGACUUUCCUGCCAUCAUAAGACCUGUGAAGAAUUCUACCUUCAGACAACUGCUCAACUGGAUUGAAUCUGGGAGAAGAAGAUGGGGGCAUUAUUUCUUGACAGCCACCUAGAUUCCAACAGCAUCAUGCAACAAAUGGUACUAAGACCUUCAGAACCCUUGAAGAGCUAAUCAGCACUUAUGCAUGAAGGCAAUGUUCUAAACCUUAGUGGUCAGGAAAUGUUUGAGAUUUGAAACAGUUGUUUGAAGUUGAGG
rnacentral:lncRNA from 1 species